UGUUUACGUCGUUUUUGUCAUAGAUAUCGGUUUUUGUUGUAGGAUGUCUCAGGUUGAGCUCGUUGGAUGAGAGAGAGAUUAGACAAAGACAGCUAUGAUUCUUUGAUUGAUUAUGAGUGGGUUGUCUUACCUUGCUGAGAGGUUAGCUUCAUGCCUUGCAUCUUCAAAAGGAGUCACAAACACAGGGUGACAUGCUAACAGACAGCAAGUUCGGUCAGUCUCAAGGGCACCUCUAUCAAGUGACCCCUCCACAUGCAGUGUGGUGCCUAUAUAAAGCAGCAUUUUUAAUAAUCAGUUAGGAAUGACAGGACUCAUUAUAAAUCCAUUAAGACAUACAAUAUUUUUUCCUAUAUUGACAUUAAUGAUGAACUGCCUGUAAACUCUGUUAAGGGGAUGGGCAUUUCUGAUAACCUGUUCAGUGUGUAAAUCAUAAUGCAAAACUGAGUGGUCAAUAUAAACAAAAUACAAUGUUCCCAUAAGACCCUACAAUAAACAAAUUAUGUUUAUCAUGA